rnacentral:lncRNA from 1 species
GAUAGACACAGUCAAAGUCCAUUUGGACAAACUGUCUGUUGAAAGGUCUCCAGGACAGCAAGUCUGGUGGUUUCAGCUGGGUUCCUGGCAACUGCCAGUAUGUAUUAUAAAUCCACCAAAGUUCCCUGCUUGAAAGGAAUUUGUGGAUUUAAACAGUUUUGAAAGAACUCCUUUUCCAAACAGGGUUAUUCAUGCUUAUCAAGGUGAAAGUGUAUUAAGCAGAACAGCUCACCAUUCUCUCUAGCCAGCUCCUGAACGUGAAGAAAGAUUGAAUCAAUAUACAUUUCUGUAAUUAAAUUGCAUGUCCACGUCCAUGUCCUUCCGAGGAGGGCAGGAGACUUCAGCAGGAAUGACGAUGUCUAUAAGGAGUUGCAACAACAUGACAAAGAGGAUUCCCCUGACAAAUGGAGAACAGAGGAAGAAAUGGCAGCUGAAGCAGCAAUUCUGAAGAAGUAUUUCCAAGAAAAUUAGAGGUAAUGGUUUGCUCAUUAAGUUAUUCCUGCAACACUCAGAACUCUUGGGUGUUCCAUAGGAUUCUUAAGGACACAUGAGAAUAUGUAGAAUGAAACCUAAAAAGCUCUAUUGUUUUUUUUCGUUCGUGUUGUUUCCUAAAAGGACACAAUACUCCAACAGUGGCUGAAAUAACAUCCUCCUUCUCGAACAAAUAAGCACCAUCUUAAAGCUUUUAGUUCCCAGAGAGUGAAAAAUAACACACCUGG